UACAGAGGUGGCAAGCGUUGUUCGGAAUUACUGGGCGUAAAGGGCGCGUAGGCGGCCUUCUAAGUCAGACGUGAAAUCCCCCGGCUUAACCUGGGAACUGCGUCUGAUACUGGAGGGCUUGAGUGCGGGAGAGGGAUGUGGAAUUCCAGGUGUAGCGGUGAAAUGCGUAGAUAUCUGGAGGAACACCGGUGGCGAAGGCGGCAUCCUGGACCGACACUGACGCUGAGGCGCGAAAGCUAGGGGAGCAAACAGG
rnacentral:rRNA from 1 species